AUGGAGGUGGAGGUAGCGGACCCCCAGUCGAAGGACGCGCCCACCUCCACGCUCGCUUUCUGCCCGGAGGGGCCGUUCCUCGCCGCCGGCGCCAUGGGCGACAUCAAGCCGAAGCUGCGGCUCCUCCGUUCCACCCCGGGCGCCUACCUCUUCGACGAGUUGGGUUCGUUCUGGUCGCCAGCGCCGCUCCGCCGCGUCUGCUGGUCGGACGCAUUCUCGUCGGGCUCCUCAAGGCCACUCGCGGGUCUCAUUGCUAGAGGUUUGGAGAACGGCUCCGUCGUCGUGUGGGAUCCGCACAAGAAGAUCAGCGACUGGAAUGCUUCUGAGUACGACGCAGGCGAGAUGGAGCUCAAGGAGAGGCUGAAACUGGAACGGGGCGAAUUCAGGACUCGAGCAAACAGUUUCAGACUGGACCAGCAGCACAUCGGGCAGCGUAAGCCAUCGCCGCCGCUCCUCGACAAGAUGACGAGCAAUUUCACACCGUCCACGGGCGCGGCCCACGGCCUGGUGGCUUCACUUCGUCCCUCCUUUCCCGCGCAGCGCGGCCCGGUACGAGCCUUAGAGUUUAGCCCAUGUUCGCCAACAUUGCUUGCUUCGGGCUCUGAGGACGGGCUGAUCUUAGUGUGGGAUAUAGCGAACAUUGUUCGCCAACAUGUCUGCUCCAUCAGUCCCCACAUAUCAGCAUAUUUCUAG
rnacentral:rRNA from 1 species